AUUCUGACGGAUUCCCGAUGGAUAUCAUUUUUUGGUUUCGUCGGAAUUUCAUCGAGAUUUCCUUAAAAGUUUUCGACGGAUUUUUUUCAGUCAGGAAUCCCGUCAGUAAUUGCCUUGUUUUUUGUAGUGCGAGAAAUAUUAGAAGAGAGACAAAACGGAAAUUCGAUCUUGGUCCAAAAGUUUAAUUGGUUCAAGUGUUUUUGUUUUUGUGAGCUUCGAAGAAAGUUAAGGGCAUGAUUAACCCCGGUCUCUUAGCCGGGGUUCUUAACUCAUGAUUUGACAUUUUUUGUUUUUUUUUAAACACUUUUCAGCUAAGAGACGGCUCUUAGAGCAUAAUUAACGGGACAGCUCUUAAGGCACAAGUUUUUAGGUGUUUUCUAUUUUUAUUUUUGGUUUUAUAAAAAAAAAAAAAAUUCGAACCAAUCGCGGGCCGCCACGUAUCGGUGGGGCCCGCGCACUGUCCAAAACCCAAACUAAAGUCACCUCUUACGGGAGAGGCAGAAGGGGCAACUCUUGAUUAUUAGAUGGGACCCACUCAUUUUUAAAUAUUUUUUUUUAAAAGACAGCAACAAGAGUUGCCGUUAAAGGUUCUCUUAUAUCUCUUAU
rnacentral:lncRNA from 1 species